rnacentral:rRNA from 1 species
GACGAACGCUGGCGGCGUGCUUAACACAUGCAAGUCGAACGGAAAGGCCCUGCUUUUGUGGGGUGCUCGAGUGGCGAACGGGUGAGUAACACGUGAGUAACCUGCCCUUGACUUUGGGAUAACUUCAGGAAACUGGGGCUAAUACCGGAUAGGAUCUCCUGCUGCAUGGUGGGGUUUGGAAAGUUUCGGCGGUUGGGGAUGGACUCGCGGCUUAUCAGCUUGUUGGUGGGGUAGUGGCUUACCAAGGCUUUGACGGGUAGCCGGCCUGAGAGGGUGACCGGCCACAUUGGGACUGAGAUACGGCCCAGACUCCUACGGGAGGCAGCAGUGGGGAAUAUUGCACAAUGGGCGGAAGCCUGAUGCAGCAACGCCGCGUGCGGGAUGACGGCCUUCGGGUUGUAAACCGCUUUCGCCUGUGACGAAGCGUGAGUGACGGUAAUGGGUAAAGAAGCACCGGCUAACUACGUG